AAGGGUUUAUCACUUGUGGAGGAAUCUUAUCCAGUUCAGAUCAGAAGCUGGAUUGGUGUGGAAGAUCCCAAUUACCCAAAUUAAAUCCAUUGUCCAUCGAUCACUGGUGUUGCAACCUUCAUAAUUCAUCAAUUUUACAACAAGAGAAGAUGAGGCCAGCCAAAGACACUGCUGGAAGGCGAGCUCGUCCCUCUUCUCCACCCAGAUCUGCUCGAACUACUACCACCUUUCCCUCUGGGCCUCACUCUUCUCUACCCAGGUCUCGUCAAUCUACAAUAGCCCACUCGGCCUCCCUCCUCGACAGCGAGCUCGUCACUCAAGAAGACAAUGUCGCUCUGUUUGAAGACCUCCGAAUCUUCCCGGAGCACGCAAAUUCAAACCCUGAACCGAGGAGCUUUCCAUACAGCGUGAAGCAGCAAUGCUGGGAGAAGGCGGAGAAGGUCAAGGGCCGAGACCCAGACCGGUGGCGCCGCGACCCCCUUGGUAAUAUUGUCUUUAGAAAGCUUGUGGGUUGUCCCGGUUGCUUGUGCCACGAUUACGAUCACAUUGUGCCUUACUCUAAGGUUUGAACUUCUAUAUUGCACAGAAUUCUGCGUUAGAUGCUUGUGAACUCUUUGUAAGACUGCCAUGUAACCAGUCAUACUGUAGAUCUUGUCAGAACCACUCAUAUCAACACCUUAUAAUAUAUUUAUUUUGUAUUAUAGCCUGUAACUUGUUCUUUAUUUAUUUAUCUUUUGCAUGUGGCUGCUGCUUGAGAGGCUUUAAAUAUUUUCAAUUUUCAGGGGGGCAAAAGCACACUGGAAAAUUGCCAGGUUUUGCAGGUGAGAGGCUUGUCUUGUACUAAUGCAUGUAACUAUGACAUCUAAUUGGCAUGUGGUUCUUGUUUGCUUUGGUAAGAUAUUCUCAAUUAAUUCUGCCUUGUGAUCUUAAAUUCUUCUUGCUACCUGUGAAUCUGAACCUUUGUUCCUUGCAUAUUUAAUAUGCUUGUCCUAUCACAAAAGUUAUUAUUUAGAGUUCUUUUUUUUCUCACUUUUCUACAUGAUAGAAUACAGUUCAUUUCAUUCUAGAUUUGCUUCUCCGCUGCUCUAUAAUAUGUGGUGGUUCCUUGUUCGCUCAGUAAUAUGGGGUGGUUCCUUGUUCUUACUCAGAUCUAGUAAAGAUGGUGUAAGGAAAUAGAGCAGGUUUCUGUGCUGCUUCUCUUCCUGAAUUGUUUAGGUUGCCUGGAGUUGUCACUGCCUUUGCAUGGCUCACAUUUAUCCUCUCAAUCAACUAAUGGAAAUGAAUUUUCUUACCUUUUAAAGCUUUUAUCUUCGGACUACGUGUUAGAAAUCGAAAAGAAUUUUUGUGUAGAUAAUUUUUAGUUGACUACCAUACAUAAUACAGGGUCCCCAGGAAAAAAAGGGAACCUUCAUUCUAUGGGUCAAGCCAAAAAAUACUCCAUUUCUAUGAUGCAAAAACUCCUAAUUGUUUUGCUGUUAAGAUGUCAGAAACUCAACAAUCAUAUCAAUCUUUCUGUCUCACCUGAUUUCCAGGUGCAUCUCUUCUUAGAUCUACAUGAUUUGAUCUUUUCUGUUUUUAUGGAAACCCAUUUAAGACAUCAAAGUUCACUUUUGAGUGCAAUUAUAUUAUGCUUUUCCCAACUGGUACAGAGAAUCUCCUAAGUAAAGCUGACUUUUGGCUUAUGCUGCAGGCAACAGUUAACCGAUCAAAGGGAAACAAAACUGAGCUGUCAAGAGCUGAUCUUAUUCAGAAAAGUUCCUAUUGCCGUGUUUCUGGUAUUGUGAAUUUAAACCAUGAACAUUCAGACAAGGAAAUUCAGGUGAAAAACUAACUGGAGAAUUUUGAAUUCACUGCAGGACGUGACAUGGAUCUUAUUGAGCUGUCAGCCUAUGGCAAUGUGCAGCAUGUACAGGACCCGGGAGGUUGUAGAAUUCAAUGAACAACUGGCUACUGUAAAAACUGAUGUCAAGAUGGGGCAAAGAAUUUGUAUUUCUAAUCAUACAAUUAAUGAUACCUUUAUCUUCGUUGUAUACAGAAGCUUCUUACUCAAUACUUUUGGGAUACCGUUCAUGCUUACGAUGAUCUGCACUGCAUUUUCUUUUUGUGGUUAAACUAUAUUGUUCCUUCGGGAGUAGAAACCAGAAUUUCAUGGUGGGAACUGUUAGCUUGGAAGGCUUUCUGUAACACUUCUAAAUGUAUAGUCUGGUAUAUUUUACUGUUUU
rnacentral:misc_RNA from 1 species